CCUACGGGAGGCUGCAGUCGAGAAUCAUUCACAAUGGGGGAAACCCUGAUGGUGCGACGCCGCGUGGGGGAAUGAAGGUCUUCGGAUUGUAAACCCCUGUCAUGUUGGAGAAAAUUAAAAAGAUAGUACCACAAGAGGAAGAGACGGCUAACUCUGUGCCAGCAGCCGCGGUAAUACAGAGGUCUCAAGCGUUGUUCGGAAGCACUGGGCGUAAAGCGUGCGUAGGCUGGUUCGGAAGUCAGGUGAGAAAGGCCCGGGCUCAACCCGUGGACGGCAUAUGAUACUGCUGGAGUAGAGUGAUGGAGGGGGAACCGGAAUUCUCGGUGUAGCAGUGAAAUGCGUAGAUAUCGGGAGGAACACUCGUGGCGAAGGCGGGUUCCUGGACAUUAACUGACGCUGAGGCACGAAGGCCAGGGGAGUGAAAGGGAUUAGAUACCCCAGUAGUC
rnacentral:rRNA from 1 species